UAAGUCUAUAUCCUACUUUCCAGCACCUUCUUUCUCUUCCUCUAUUAUUUUAUAAUCCCAUUUGUUCCUUAAAUUCCUUCUUCUUCGGUUCUCUUCUUCACCGAGGCACAGUGAGAGUUGAAGACCACCAAACUAACCGAUAGAGAGAGAGACCUGAAGAGAGUGUGUGCGUGUGAGUGACCCAGUCAGUGCUUGCAUGAACCCAUGCAACCUGACCUCAACAGCUCGUCCAACCCAGCAACUUCAUCUCCCAACCCGUAGAACCCAGCUCGGACCACAGCAAGCGCCACCCGUGACUGCUCUGGCCAAAACAGAACCCAUCAAGUGACCAAACCAUACGUGCAUGAGCCCAGCAUCACGACCCCAGCCAGCAAGAUACUGAACCACCAAGAGAAUCCAGUAACAACGCAAGAUCAUAUGACCCCAGCAAGCUUGAAGCCAGAACUACCCGAAACCUGUGCAACCCAGCCGUGAACCCGACGAACCCAGUUCUGCCGCAACACCCAGGAAGUCAUCUGAAUAACAACAAUCACAAGAUGAUGAACUGAGACUGCAUAAAAAGGACUAUGACUGUGCAGGCACAGACACUGACGAGUAUCAAGAUUAUCAGGAGCCUUAUGAUGAUUCUGGUUUCAUAGAUGAGACUGUCUAAAGUCUCCUUUUUUAUGAUAGACUUGUUGAACAGUUUAUCUUCCAUGUCGUUAUUAGGUUUUAUUUUAUGUACUUUCUAGACAUCUUAUGCUUCAUUUUAUGGUUUGUAAUAUGACUACUAUUAUAUAGGACGUGAGCCGUAGUGGCCCUUAUGUUAUUGCUUUUGUGUGUAUUUAUUUGUAAGACCUUUUAUUAUUAUUUUAAUGUAAGUUGAGGUAUUUCAAAUAAAGCUCUAUGUGUGUUGAA